UACGUAGGUGGCAAGCGUUGUUCGGAAUUAUUGGGCGUAAAGGGCGCGUAGGCGGUUUGUUAAGUCGGCUGUGAAAGCCCGGGGCUCAACCCCGGAGGGUCAGCCGAUACUGGCAGACUAGAGUACGGAAGAGGUAGCUGGAAUUCCCGGUGUAGCGGUGAAAUGCGUAGAGAUCCGGAAGAACACCGGUGGCGAAGGCGGCCUGCUGGGCAGUAGCUGACGCUGAUGCGCGACAGCGUGGGGAGCAAACAGG
rnacentral:rRNA from 1 species